UGAGUAAGCUGGAUGGUCGCGGACACGCAAGUGUCUGAGGAAAGUCCGGGCUCCAUAGGGCAGGGUGCCGGGUAAUACCCGGUGGGGGCGACCCCAAGGAUAGUGCCACAGAAAUGUGUACCGCCUUUUGGGAAGUGAGAAGUGGGAGAUUGGAAGUGUGUGUAGACACACAUACCGCCAACUCUUAGCUUUCACUUCUCAGGGGGUAAGGGUGGAACGGUGCGGUAAGAGCGCACCAGCGGUCAGGUAACUGGCCGGCUAGGUAAACCCCACCUGGAGCAAGACCUAAUAGGGGAACGAUGGAGCGGCCCGCUCUGUUCCCGGGUUGGUCGCUAGAGGCGCCGGGCAACCGGCGUCCCAGACAGAUGACCGUUUACGACAGAACCCGGCUUAUAGGCUUACUCGCUCG
rnacentral:RNase_P_RNA from 2 species